GGUGGGGAACAGAAAAGAGCCGUGCGGGAGCGUUGUUCCACAUUUUGGGCCUCAGCUGGCCCAUUUACAAAAUGAGGUUGCACCCCUUGACCUGUCUACAUCAUGGGACGCCUGGGAAGAGCAAAGGAGAAAAAAAAAAAAGGUAACUGGGACCGAGCAGUCUACAACUGGACAUCAUUCAUGCUCCCUUAACUCAACCCCCUGUCUCCCAGAUGAGGCCGUGCCUCCACGGGCCACAGCCUGUCGUUGUCAACAGAUGGCUGUUUGCACGGGUCCUUGGGCCCUUGAUAUUUCUACCCCAGUGGAGCACAUACCUCGCAAGGCCUGGUCUUCACUUUCGUCGUCUGUGUUCUCCACCAAUACAUCGGGCAAUGCUGGAAAAGUCCCUGAGGACAAGGCCCUUCCAUGCCGCCAAGCGGUGGUCCAGCCAGCGUUUAUUUAGCAUGAGAGACCGUGGUUCCAAAGCCCCUCGUCUCACUGUUGGCACGCGGGAAGCAGGCAUCCAUGGAUUCGAGGAAAAUUGACUUUGGAUUGAGUUCAUAGAACACCAGAGAGUCCGGAGAACUCUUUCUCGGAACUCAAAUGAAAACACAUAAUGUGGUUAAUAUUAAAUAAAGGGAUUGGGCAACUCUUCCCCCUUUUCCUUUUCAUGGUUUGCGCUGAUGUGUCCUUGAUCGGGGCCUGUGUUGCUUAUGGUCAAUAAAUGACUCACCUUGGCUGCCUUCUGUUUAUCCCAUACACACUAUGAGUUCGAAGAGAGCACAUCGAACUUGGCGCCUAAAGGGAACGCUCAGGGAUUUGGGGGGAAAUGUGGAUAGCCCAGGAGCCUUUCAAGGGUAAAUGGAUGCCAGCCUGCAAGGUCCCAAAGCAGGAUCUGUGGGUCUGAAGUCAUCCCUAAACCAUGUAUUCAUCAAGAAUUCCCAGUAACAUUCGGUCCUCGCUGAAGGCUUGAGAGAAACGAACGCCAUCGCUUCCAACAUGCACACGCAAGUAGGGGACGUUGUAGCCCGGGUCUUUGUUCUGCCAGUUUCCUGGGUGAGCGCACUGGGCUUCUUCCCCUCUGUGGGCCUCACUUUUCCCACCUGUAUAAUGGGGUUUUCUCUGAGGUCCUUCCAGCUCUGCUACGUCCAGAUUUCCAGAGCUCUUGGAAACAGACGGUGUCUCAUCCUUGCCCGGCUCAUGGUGAAUCUGCUGAUUAAAUGAUAAAGAAACACAGGAUGAGGGGCACCUGGGUGGCGCAGUCGGUUAAGCGUCCGACUUCAGCCAGGUCACGAUCUCACGGUCCGUGAGUUUGAGCCCCGCGUCGGGCUCUGGGCUGACGGCUCAGAGCCUGGAGCCUGUUUCCGAUUCUGUGUCUCCCUCUCUCUCUGCCCCUCCCCCGUUCAUGCUCUGUCUCUCUCUGUCCCAAAAAUAAAUAAACGUUGAAAAAAAAAAAAAAAAAGAAACACAGGAUGAUGGUUCGAGUGUGGGCAGAACUGGGUUCUCAUCUGUUUCUCCCCACGUGACCCUGGGUGGGCCCCGCUUCUCUCCGGGGUCAGAAUUUCUACUAGGACAAUCAGAGAAUUGGAUUCGAUGGGCACCAGACAGAGCCUGGCCCACCAGGGGCUUUGUACUUGGGGCAGCGUUACAGGUGAUGGCGACCAAAUGCUUUUGGGCAGAGCGUCUGCUCUCCGGGGGAGUCCGCUGGCCAACCCCACGCUGGAGGCACACACCUGGUCUGGUUACCCACGGCGGCAUCCUGCCUGGUCCUUCGUGCGUGACCCCCCCCAGGUAGCCUCCCCUCUGAGUCCUCCUGACUCUGAUGUUUUGUGGUUCUAAGAGGGUGUAGGGAGGGGGUACAGAUCUGGCAGUGCCUGUCGGGCCACAUAGCAAAGGCCUGGAUUCCUGGGAAGGGCCCCUGUGAUGGUGCAUUUUAUGUGUCAACUUGCUGGGAUAAGGGGUGCCAGAUGAAACGGUAUUUCUGGGGGAGUCUGGAGGGUGUUUCCCGAUGAGAUUAGCGUUUGAAUCAGCAGACUGAGUAAGCCUAUUGCCCUCCCCAGCGUGGGCGGACGGGUGCCCACUGAAUAGAACAAAAUGUGGAGGAAGGGGUGACUUGCCCUCUCUGCCCGCCUGCUUUGAGCUGGGACACCAGUUUUCUGUCCUCAGAUGGGACCUGCACCAUCACCCUUUAUCGCUCUCUCUUUGUUUCUGUUUAUAUCUAUUCUAUUGGCUAUAUUUGUGUAUAUCCAAUUAGUUCGAGAGAACCUGAAUACAGUCCCACACCUUCUCAACACCUCUUUAGCUGUCGGGCCCUCCUGUUGCUGACCCCCAAAGGCCAGGGGUGUUCAGCAGCCCCCAGAGGCCUUGCUCCUCUGACCCCUCAGCCGACUCAGACUGAAUGCACCAUCAGGGGAUGUGGAGAAAAACCCCUGGUUCCAAAUGAACCAGGUGUGCAGUCAUCCCUGCCCAUCAAAUGGGCCCUCACGCUGGCCUCCUGAGGGCAGGCCGGGCGCAGGGACCCCAGAAGCCUGAUGCAGGUGUGCAGUAGGGCUGGAACCGGCCUCCAGAAACAGUGUCAGAACACGGCCCUUCCGACUGGGGUCCGGAGUCCAGGCGCCGUUCGAUCUUGCCUUUGCCUCGGAGCCUCCGUCUUCCCAUAUGCUGUAAGAGGGGCUUAAAAUCAACCAUUCAUUCAUUCAUUCAUUCACGCGACAAUCCCCAAAUCCCCAUGUGAGACUAGGAAGGAACUUGAAGGUCCUUUGGCCCAAAUAUUCUUUUGCUUGAAGGCCUUCCACAAGCACCACUGGUGAGUGUUUGAACCACUCCAGGUUAUUUAUUAAGCACCUACCGUGUACCAGGCAUUUGCAAAAACACUUGAACCGUGAAUUUCCUGCCCCGAGGGUGUUAAUUGCGUGAAGAUGCAGGCAAAUUAUUCCUGAAGGUAAUAUCUGUGUGAUACCAGGGGGAGACGUCCUAUAUGCCACCGCUGUUUCAGAGAAGAAAAAAAAUUCGUCUGGCUGGCACACCAAGGGUGUGGCACUUGAACGAUGGGGUUCCUGGUAUAGGGAACAGUCUGAAUAAAUGUGUGGAGGCAGCCCUGGGCCAGAUGUUUGCCUGGAAGGGUGAAGAGCUCAGUCCUAUUGGAACCCAGGGCAUUCGGGAAAGCUGCUAGAGGCCCCUGGAAGGUAAUGGGGGUGCUGAGGGCUUGAACAAUAAUCUGAUGAAUCCAUAUCACACGUUCCAGUUCUCCAAGCUCUUCCCCAACAUUCUCUCAUCGAUCUUUGAGGCAAGGCUGUAGAGUUGGGAGCUGGGCUGGCUCCCCAGUGGGAAGGGAUUCUCCGGAACCACGCGGCCCAUCAUUCCUGGAUCCGGGCUGACAUUGGCCUGUUCAGACCCUGUGUUAGUUUCCUAGGGCUGCCGGAGCAAAGUGCCACAAGAAGCGUGGCUUAAAACAACAGAAACUCGGGGCGCCUGGGUGGUUCAGUCGGGUAAGCUUCUGACUUCAGCUCAGGUCGUGAUCUCACGGUUCGUGAGUUCGAGCCCCUUGCUGGGCUCUGUGCUGACAGCUCGGAGCCUGGAGCCCGUUUCGGAUCCUGUCUCCCUCUCUCUCUGCCCCUCCCCCACUCACACUCUGUAUCUCUCUCUCAAAAAUAAAUAAACAUUAAAAAAUUUAGGGGCGCCUGGGUGGCGCAGUCGGUUAAGCGUCCGACUUCAGCCAGGUCACGAUCUCGUGGUCCGUGAGUUCGAGCCCCGCGUCAGGCUCUGGGCUGAUGGCUCAGAGCCUGGAGCCUGUUUCGGAUUCUGUGUCUCCCUCUCUCUCUGCCCCUCCCCCGUUCAUGCUCUGUCUCUCUCUGUCCCAAAAAUAAAUAAACGUUGAAAAAAAAUUUAAAAAAAAAAAAAUUUAAACACACACACACACACACACACACACACACACACACAAUGGAAAUUCACUCUCUCACAGUUCUGGAUGUCAGAAGUCUGAAAUCGAGGUGUUGCAGGGCCAUGUUCCCUCUGAAAUCCCUAGAGAAGAAUCUAUCCUGGCCUCAGUUUGUGAUGGCUGUUGGGCAGUCCUCAGCGCUGUGCGGCUCCACGCUGUCCCCGCCAUUAAGGAGCCUCUUCCCUCUGUCUGUCUCUGUGUGUCCUCUCUUUUUCUUAGAAGGGCGGUAGUCAUACUGCAUUUAGGGCUCACCCUGACCCAGUAUGAACUCAUCUGAACUACAGCAGACCAUCUUUAUUUGUGGACUCUAUAUUUGCUAAUUCGCCUGCACGCUAAAAUGUAUUUGUAACCUCCAAAUCAAUACACGUGGUCAUUUACAGACACGCACAGCACAGUGAACAAUAUGAAUUGCCCAACACGCACAUUCCCCACUGAUGUCGGAUAUCUUUGUCUUCUUGUUUCAGCUUUCAUAAGGAAGUUCGUUCGCUCGUUUGUUCCUUCCUCCCUCCCUCCCUUCCUUCCUUCCUUCCUUCCUCCCUCCCUCCCUCCCUUCUUCCUUCCUUCCUUCCUUCCUUCCUUCCUUCCUUCCUUUCCUUCUUUCCUCCCUCCCUCCCUCCCUUCCUUCCUCCCUCNNNNNNNNNNNNNNNNNNNNNNNNNNNNNNNNNNNNNNNNNNNNNNNNNNNNNNNNNNNNNNNNNNNNNNNNNNNNNNNNNNNNNNNNNNNNNNNNNNNNNNNNNNNNNNNNNNNNNNNNNNNNNNNNNNNNNNNNNNNNNNNNNNNNNNNNNNNNNNCUCCCUCCCUUCCUCCCUCCCUUCCUUCCUUCCUCCCUCCCUCCCUUCCUCCCUCCCUUCCUUCCUUCCUCCCUCCCUCCCUUCUUUCCUUCCUUCCUGUUUAUUUAUUACUACAUUUUUCUCAACUUUGUGCUUUUUGUGGGUGAUUUUGCUAUUUAAUGGCCCCCAGUUCCUAUGAGCAAGAAAGCUGUGAUGUGCCUUAUGGAGAAAAUACAUGCAUUAGAUUAGCUUCGUUCAGGCAUGAGUUACAGUGCUGUUGGCCAUGAGUUCAAGGUUAAUGAAUCAAUAAUAUAUAGAAAAGAAGAUGUCUUUUUUUUAAUUAGAAAAAAAUUUUAAUGUUUAUUUUUGAGAGAGAGAGAGAGAGAGGGAGACAGAGCAUGAGCCGGGGAGAGAGAGAGGGAGACACAGAAUCUGAAGAGGCUCCAGGCUCCGAGCUGUCAGCACAGAGCCUGAUGUGGGGCUUGAACUCAUGAACCGUGAGAUCAUGACCUGAGCCAAAGUGGGACACUUAAGUGACUGAGCCACCCAGGUGCCUUAAACACACUUAAAUACACUUAAAACAUGCUAAAAAUGUACAUGAUUGGUUGAUGAAAAUAUUGUGACCAGAGGCUCCCAGGAACCUAACCCUGUAUUUCUCCUAUGGGCAAUGGGUUCUGUAUUCACUAUUUCAGGGUUUGCAGCGGCUUUAUAGAACGUAACUAUUGUGUCGGGCACCUGGGUGGCUCAGUGGGUUAAGCAUCUGACUCUUGAUCUCAGCUCGGGUCAUGAUCUCAUAGUUUGUGGGCUCAAGCCCUGAGUUGGGCUCUGUGCUGUCAGCACAGAGCCUGCUUCGGAUCCUCUGUCUCCCUCUCUCUCUCUGCCCCUCCUCUGCUCGUUCUCAUGCUCUUUUUUUUUUCUCUCUCUCUCUCAAAAUAAGUAAACUUUUGAAAAAAGAACAUAACUACUGUGAGUAACGAGAAUCGAUUGCAAUUACAUUUACAGAGGCUCUAUUUCCAGAGACCACAGUCUGAAGUUCUGGAUGGUCAUAAAUUUUGGGGGGACACUAGUCCGGCCAGUAUAGACCCCAGAGGUGGUCUCUCUCCCACACCAGUAAUUUUCCAAACUGGCCAAUCACCUCAUUCUUCUUGGGGACCUUGUUAAGAAUGCAUAUUUUAGGUCCUGCCCCAGAGACUAUAAUCCAAGAUCUGAGAGGGGCCCAGGAAUCUGCAUUUUCAGAAGGGCCAGGUCAACAUGAUGAUUGCUCCCAUGACGACUCAAUGCAGUGAACGGAGAUCUUUAUUCUCUCGGAACUGGCAUCUAUUUCCAUAAAAUGGGCAUUUUUGCCUUAGAGGGUUAUGUGAGGAUUAACUAAAAUGUGGUCACAUUGACUAGGCACCUUAGGAAGUUGGCAAUAAGUGGUAAGCACUAAGAACUGUAGCGUAUUCUGAAUGUCUAUAUCUUCAAGCUGAUACAUUUUCCCCAAUAUACUGUUGUAUUUACUCUCUUAUUUGGUUCUCUUAAGAACUCUGUAAGAUAGGCAAGAUGGUACUCGCUUGUGUCCUUGAGGACAGCAGUGAGAAAGGACAACCUAUCACGAGAAAGGAGGCAAACUAAGCUUCCAGAAGAAGACAAAGUAACUCAAGAAUUACUUUGGGGAUAUUUUGUUUAAGGUAUCUAGCUGCAACUUGUUGGUAGCCACAGGGCUUUACCGGACAUUUUCUCUAAUGAUGAGUAUAGUGGGAAGAGUAUAAGCUUUGCAGUGGGCUUACCUUUACAGCCCUGUGAUCUUAGGUUAGGCAACCUCACAGAGUCUCCGUUUUUCCAUCUGUACAGUGGAAUAAUAGCAUCCAUAAGGCAGAGUUGGAUGAUCAGAGAUAAUGAUGUUUGUAAAGCAUCUGUCACAGUGUCAGGCACUAACAUUUUACAAUGAUGUGUUAUGUUAAUAUAAUACUUCACAAUUUCUGAAGUAUUUCCACUCUUUUUCAUUUGCUCCUCAUGGUAACGUUCCAUUCAUCCUUCCAUCCAUCUAUCCUUCCUUCCUUCCUUCCUUCCUUCCUUCCUUCCUUCCUUCCAUCCAACCUUCCCUUCCCAUCACUUCCCUUCCCUUCCCUUCCCUUCCUUCCUUUCCUUUUCCUUCCUUCCUUCCUUCCUUCCUUCCUUCCUUCCUUCCUUCUUUCUUUCCUUCCAUCUAGUCAUCUAUCCAUUCAUCCAUCCAACCUUCCAUCCAUCCAUCUAUCCAUCCGUCCGUCCAUCCUGUGAUUGGCACCAGCUAGUUAAGGUGUAGUGAGCAAAACAUACAAAGAAUCCUCACCCUUAAGAGCUUAGAGACUGGUAGGAAAGACAGAUGACAGACAAGUGAUGAGGCAACAAAUAGCCAUGGUAAAAUACACAUUUUAUGACGGACAUGAACAGGAUACUGAGAGAGAACGAUGGGGAAGCCCUAGUUAGAAUGGCCAGAGAUGGCUUCCUUGACUGGCUAACGAGAAAAGACAUUCAUGAGAGGACUCAAGGGAAGGCAUUUCAGGCAAACGGAACAUACCCAAUGGCCCUGCAGUAGGGUCAGCUUGGAUUAUUGCAUUCAUUCAUUAUCCACUCUUUUGGAAUCCCUGGAGGCAUGCAUAGCUACUCUGAAGUUUAGCUUUUCUUUUGUCUCUGAGGAACCCAGAGGGUUAAAUGUGAGCUCAAGUUUCCAGGCCAGGAAAGUAUCUGAGUCCCAUUUCCCACUGCUGUACUGGCCACUGACAAGACAUCAGGACUGGCUUCCAUGGCUCCAAGAUGCCUUGCACAACAUUGUAAGAGAUUUCCAUUACUUUGGCCAGACAUCAAUGAGUUUGGGCACCUCUUGGGGAUAAGAGACUCCUUGUUUCGAAUAGCAUGGAAGGGAGUGAAUGCCUUCCUCCCUAGUCAUCAUGCCCUGUAGGUGAUGCAUCCUUUUACAACUAGCACUCUGUAGGUAGAGAGGAAGCCAAGGCCAAGGGAGACAAAGAAACUUGGCUCAAUCACUUGGAGAGUUUAGGAUGGAGUCCAACCAGAUAUGGGCCCUCUUGGCUGCCCCCGUCCAAAGCUGCUCCCCCCACUACUCAAGCCACAGCUCACCUGCCCCAUUUACAGGAACCCCCAAAGGCUAGCCCACGUUGUCUCCUAUCCUGAGCCAGGGAAGCUUUUACUACUCACUCUUUUGUUGGUUUCUCCAACCCUGGCCGAUCAGGCCUUUUUGAUGUUGGUGUUACCAAAUCCAGAGCCCACAUCCACGUCCUUUCUUCCAAAAACAAUGCAAUCUGCAAUUAUUGAUACGCCUCGUUGUGGUUUCUGACUUUCUGCCAAAUUUGUCUGGAACGUUUGGGCUUUGAUCACUAAUCUGUGACCAAGCAUUGCCCUGAUGAUUUGGGAAAGCAACCAAACUUACUAUCCGAGUAAGGGGCUAAUGAUAAAGCCACCUGUCACAGUGUCACCUUCUUGGCCUACCGGUGGAUGUCAGCUCCUCACAGUUGCCUCUUCUGGCAUUUCCUGAGACCCUUCCUUCUCAAGAAGAGAGUCCACAGGGGUGAUGAUGUAGAAAAGGAAACCGUGGUAAUGACCCCCCAUCUAUCUCAGUCAGUUUCAACCCUGGGAGCAGGGAGACGGCCAAACUCUGUAUGUUUCCAGCAUGCACAGCCAAGUUCCAGGGCAAGAGAGCAAUGACGUCCUGACUUGUGGCCUGGUGGCAUGUGCAUAGGCUUGACAUGCCAUGGUCUGGCUGUUGCCCCUCUGUCAGAGCAGCUGCCCAGGGUCCGUGGCCACAAGCUGGAAGCCCCCCUCCCUCCUUUCUGACCAGGGGCUUGCAUUCUAGAAGGUGAGGGGAAUGUGUAACUCUGGCAUUAACCCUCUGCAGGGCUCAGAUGGGUGCUGACUAUGGCCCAUGGGAAGUUGAGGUGCUCACGUAAUUAAACUCAGGUCUAUGACCUUAAUUGAGCAAACACCUUGGGCUCCUGGCCGGGUCCACUCACGAUGGUUUCUGAAGCCCUUCUGCAGGGGAGCCUUCUCCACAGCUGCUCAGAGCCUUGCUCCAGAUUCAGAUAAACUGAGUGUGCUCUCUCUACUGUGUGAGGCUCUCUCUCCUGGUGCCUCAGUUAUGUCUCAAGUGGGGGAACUCACGGUAUCUGCUGCUCAGGAUUUCUGUGAGGAAGUGAUGAGAGAACAUGCCCUUUAGCAGGUGUACUAAGCAAUGAAGAUUGUUACUAAAGGAUGGAUUCCCCCAACACCCGAGCUGUAAACAUUGGCCUUGAAAAGGGUGAUGAUGAGGCUGGCGGGGGAGGUGGGGAGGGCCGGUUGGCCUUGCUGCUGUCCAGCAGUCCAUGCCCUGGUGGAAUGGAUCUUCCCCGAGGACACACGGUGCUGAGUCUCGACCCACAGCAUGAGGUACCGUAUGACCGUCCCCAAGUCGGUGACUACAGUGGCUCCCUAGCAGGUUCCAUUGAUGCCCUGUCCUGUAUCCCAUUGGCUCACCUGAGUUGACCAGCGUUGCAGGCAGCCUACCACCCCAGCCAACUGCCUCUUUCUCUUUCUCUCUUACUUAGGCACCAAGGGAACUUGCUUGAGCAAAUGCCAGUGCAACCAGGCAGGGUACGUGUGUCUGUGUGCCUGUGUAUAAGUUCGUGCACCAGAGUCACCUUCGGCUGAUGGAGAUGACAGUGAGUGGAUAAACGGCCCAGCCCCCUGUCCUCCAGGUGAUUAUUUCAAGGUGUCUUCUGCACAGUUUCUUAGGGAGCCCAAGUGGGAUUGAACCCAUUGUCCGUGGCCAUCCCAGGUUAUUGACAAACACUGUGUUGACUUUCCUUCCUUCCCUGACUCUCUCUCUCCACUGCCUCCCUUAUUUCCUGGGAUCAGCGCCUUGAUGAACCACUGCAUCCGGCCAGGAUCUGCCUCCAGGGAGACCUGAACUAAGACCAGAGAUGCCUGCAAACCAAGGUGGCCUGAUGUGUCAGCUGAGGCAUUUCCCCAUUGGUGGCCAGAGGCUCGCUGGAACACUUUCUUCCCUCUGAGGAGCCCUUAGUGCCUCCCACCCCACCUCCUACCCCUGCACAUCAUAGACCCAGGCCCCAGCCACCAGAGCGAGACCAGUGACUCAUCUGUGAUUCAUCUGAGCACCCCAGCAUUGGCACGUGUCUGAAGACACCAAGUGGAAGUUAUGUCUUCUGUGCCCUCCUGAUGAGGGGUGAAAGCUGAAGGCGCUGGUCUCUGGCCCAUCCUCUUCCUCUUUUCAUAUGUAGAUGAGUGUCUUCAGAGGCCUGAAUUCCUGUUGUGUGUUAUAAUUUUUUUAAGUUUAUUUAUUUUGAGAGAGAGAGAGACAGAGAGAGAGAAUAUGAGCUAGGGAGGGGCAGAGAGAGCGGGGGACAAAGGAUCUGAAGCAGGUUCCACAUUAUCAGUGCAGAACCCUUUGUGGGGCUCAAUCUUAUGAGCCUCAAGAUCAUGACCUGGGCCGAAAUCGAGAGUCAGACGCUCAACUGACUGAGACACCCAGGCGCCCCUGAGUUCCGGGGUUUUGAAAUGACUGCCAUGGCCCACAUGAAGCGUUUUGAAUCAGAGCUACGCUCAACCCAACUGCCUCUUCCUCAUGCCUAUAUGUCACAGGGUUCAGGUGUCCCAUUACUUGGGAGGGAUUAGCUCAGUGAAAUCUAGAGCUAGAGAGGCCCUUGCAUUUCAACGCGUGCAGAGACAGCCAUUACCUAUGGCUGUGGCUGCUACUCUCCAAGGCCUUUCUCAUGGCCAUUGUUGACCAUGACCCCCCUCUCCGCCAUCUUUCCCUCUGAGUCCAAAUGUGACAUCAUGGUCACACCAGGCAGAGGAUGGGCAGGGCGAGGCCAGGAAGCAAGGCUCAGGACCCUGGGGCGAUCGAGCUGAACAAGACAGCCGAGCCUCCUGCUCUGGAGAAGGUUGCAGACUAACGAGAGUAGAUCAUAACAAAUAUGCAAGAUGAUUUCAGGUAACAGCAGGUUCCGCCAAGAAAAUAAGCCCAUGGUAAUGAAGGAGAUAGGUGAAGGGGGAAAGCUUUAAAGGGCAGGUCAGCUGAGGCUGGCCUGGGCUCGGUGGGUUCCACAUCUGGAAAGGAGGACAGGGAGUCUGGAGGGUGGGAACAAGGGGUCCUGUCAAGAUGUGGUGUCAGGACAGCAGGGCAAGGCGUCUGGGGCCGUGACUGGGGGUUCCACAGCCCCAUGUAAGGACGAGAUGUUACUGCAAGAUUUUCAGUGGGGAUAUGACAUGAUCUCAUUUAUGUUAUUUUCUUUUUUCAUUAAAAAAUUGAGGUAUUAGGGAGCCUGGGUGGCUCAGUCGGUCAAGCACCUGACUUCAGCUCAGGUCAGGAUCUCGCGGUUUACGGGUUCGAGCCCUGGUUCGGGCUCUGUGAGCCCGAGGCUCAGAGUCUGGAGCCUGCUUCAGAUUCUGUGUCUCCCUGUCUCUCUGCCCCUCCCCUGCUCACGCGGUCUCUCUCACUUUCAAAACAUAAAUAAACAUUUAAAAAAAUCGUUUUAGGUCAAGGUAUUAAAUAGAUUUAGGGGGUGCGUUGGUGCACACAUCUUGGGAACGUCUCAGUGAAUUUUCCCACGUGUUCGCCUGUGUUGCACCCACAUCAAAACAUAGGACAGUUCUGGAACCCCAGGAAUUUUCUGUUUCUGAAAGAUCCCUGUGGCCGCUCCGUGGAGAAUGCAGGGCAGGGAGGUGAGUCCAAACAGGGAGACCCGUCAGAGGCGAGUACGGCCAUCCAGGCUUGGAUUAGGGUAGAUGCGGUGGAAAGAGAAAAUGGUGGGUUUGGGAGGCUUUUUGGUCGAAGUGCCAAUAAGAGCUGCUGACAGAAGGACUAGUGUGAGCCAGAGCAACAGAGACAUUGAGAAGACACGUCAGAUCUUUUGGCUUUGACCAUGGCACAUUGUAGGGCGAUGGGGAACAAGGGAAGGAUUGUGCUGGGGAAUGGGGUAGGGCAACGUGGGGCGAUCCCUUUGACCUGGUAAAGUGAGAUGCCAUGGCCACCCUCUGCCUCCCCCAGAUCCCAGAUCAGAGCCCCCCAGAAACGAGUCACUGGAAUGGUGAGAGCUGAUAGCAAGCGUCCCCGACUGGCCUAAGGACAGAGAAGCACCGUCCCCGGCUAGCCCGAGGGCUUCAGGAGAGGUAGGGGGAGGGCGGCUUUGGGCGGACAGCGUUCGCUCUCAGCUGUGUCCCUUGGAAAGCUGGGUCACUGGAAGGAGAGGUGCAGAGCGGGGCGUGACGCUGGCUUCUCACUCAGGAGCCAUCUGCUCACUAAUGCAAACAGCCCCGUCUGUCAGGCCAGGCGAGGAAAAAUGACUGGGGCAGCCCCAUCGCCGAGCCGAGGGAGAGGGGUCUCUGGACCCAUGAGGUAAUCCCUCCGGUGAUGUAUGGCCCAGAGAAGAGCUGGGUUAAUGAUCUUCUGCAGGACCCGGGAGUAAAACACAGUAAUUUCAUAAUACCGCGUGUGAUGGAUUAAGGCGUGUUAAUACCAGGAGUAUACAUUAAGGGAAAUGAUCUUGCUGGCAUGCUAAAUGGCAAAAUAAAAGCACUUUUAGAAACUUCCGUGAUUAAUUGGUCUGCCCUUUUAGUUCCGUACCAUGAUAAAGUAAAGCUCACUUCUCCUGGUCACCUCCCAGGCAAUUCCUCUAAAUCCCCCAGCCCUCCAAGGACCCCCCGGGAGGGCCAGCCUCGGGGGAGAGCCCAGACCUGCAGCCUGGGACGUGCCCCCACGUCGUCUCCCUUUCCUGCUCUUACUUGACCAUUUGAGGUCCCAC
rnacentral:lncRNA from 1 species